rnacentral:rRNA from 1 species
GUACACUCCUACGGGAGGCAGCAGUGGGGAAUAUUGAACAAUGGGCGCAAGCCUGAUCCAGCCAUGCCGCGUGAGUGAUGAAGGCCCUAGGGUUGUAAAGCUCUUUCACCGGUGAAGAUAAUGACGGUAACCGGAGAAGAAGCCCCGGCUAACUUCGUGCCAGCAGCCGCGGUAAUACGAAGGGGGCUAGCGUUGUUCGGAUUUACUGGGCGUAAAGCGCACGUAGGCGGACUAUUAAGUCAGGGGUGAAAUCCCGGGGCUCAACCCCGGAACUGCCUUUGAUACUGGUAGUCUUGAGUUCGAGAGAGGUGAGUGGAAUUCCGAGUGUAGAGGUGAAAUUCGUAGAUAUUCGGAGGAACACCAGUGGCGAAGGCGGCUCACUGGCUCGAUACUGACGCUGAGGUGCGAAAGCGUGGGGAGCAAACAGGAUUAGAAACCCUUGUAGUCC